GAACGCAUCUUGCGCUCCUUGGUAUUCCGAGGAGCAUGCCUGUUUGAGUGUCGUGAAGUCUCUCGAGUCCGAGUCUCUUUUGACUCGGGGUUCGGAUUUGGACGUUUGCCGUUGUGAGACGGCUCGUCUCGAAAUGUAUUAGCCGUUCCCAUUUCCACAGACAACGGUGUGAUAAAUGAAAUUCGCUCGCGUUUUGUGGUAACGGGACGGCUCACAGUCGUCCUUUUUGGACAAUACACACGUCAUCUGACCUCAAAUCGGGUGAGACUACCCGCUGAACUUAAG
rnacentral:misc_RNA from 1 species